rnacentral:rRNA from 1 species
UACGAAGGGGGCUAGCGUUGCUCGGAAUCACUGGGCGUAAAGGGCGCGUAGGCGGCGUUUUAAGUCGGGGGUGAAAGCCUGUGGCUCAACCACAGAAUGGCCUUCGAUACUGGGACGCUUGAGUAUGGUAGAGGUUGGUGGAACUGCGAGUGUAGAGGUGAAAAUUCGUAGAUAUUCGCAAGAACACCGGUGGCGAAGGCGG